UCACCUGUUGUAAUGCCCGUCCCUCCUGUGUGCCUCAGCUCCCACCAGGGAUUGCAGCACAGCACCACAUCCCAGCGUUGUGUCUGCAGUGGAACCAGCACGUGAAACCUGCAUGACAGAGGACUUUCUGGAAAACAAGUUCAGCCUUGCUAUCUGCGCCUGGCACGUGAGAAUGAAAACUGGCUUGCUUGGAGCAAAGGCCUCCCUGCAGUCACUGACAGAAUGUUUGGAAACAGCUCUGCAGGACGUCCUGGGAGCAGCGUGACCCAGCUGGGAGUAGCAGCUAGCUGAAAAACUCGCUUCAGAAGCACUCAGCCGUGGCCUGCUGAGGAACUGGAAAGGGUAUUUCAGCAAAUGAAGUAGACACCUCUGGGAAAUUGGGAGAAGUUCUUCAGAGCAGGAACAUACAUUCAAUCUUUAGUUCAUUGCUCCUGGUGGGCAAGCAUCAAAUCAGGCUGAUGUCUGAUCAAAUCCCUGUCAGCUUUUGUUAGCGCUGCUUGAUCCUGCCUCACUCAGAAAGCUUGAAGAAAAGAAAAGCGAUGGGAAAUAAAAAGUUAAUUCAUGCCCUCCUAACUGUGCUGUGAGAGCACUGUAACACCGUGAAAACCACGGCUUUCCUAACAUGAUUCAUCAGAAAUCAGGAGGGAAAAAUAGUUGAGAUCUGAUAUACUGAGUACUCUUAAAUUACAGUGCAGCUUCAAGUAUAGUGUACGAGGAGAUAGAAGCCGAGUGAAUAAGUAUGUCUCAGGCUGUCAUGUCCAUGAACUGGGAAACUCACUGCUCAUUGAAUCAUUUCCUGGUACUUCUGCUCAUCCAUCGAUACAGAGAGCAACCAGACUGGGUUUGCGGAGAUGAAAGCCAGAGUAAUUCAGAGCCAGCUGUAAUUCUUUAUACAGCAUACACCAAGUAUUUUUGUUGACUCCUGCAUGACAUUUCCAAGGUGGCUGGGAAACCAGGCCAUUUGUUACACGGAGCCGAGAUCAAUAGAAAGCACAGAGGAAAACAAGUAAAGCUAACAUCCAGGGGAAAGGACAGCGCAACUUCCAAGUUUGCACAGCUCAGAUGUGCAGCGCACAUCCAUGGGAACAUCCUGUUCUCGGUGCGCGGAGCAGAACAUCCUAUUCGAUUUACUGAAAAAUAUGAAGCACGAGGAAACGCUGCUGCUUUAUGUACGCGGGAUGUCAGCUUGCAGCCGCGCCUCACGCUCGCAUCGCGCACCCUUUCUCUUCCGAGUUUUCCGUGCUGCUGAGGCCUCCCACGAAAUGCAUAUUCCUGAAAUGUUUUGAGUUCUGUGACCCAUCGGAAUUCUCCCUUCCAUGAAUGCUCUCUGUCCCAUCACUGGAAAAUUGCUGCACUGCAUAUAAGAGAUCCGAUCACACAGUGACAUGAUUUUGAUCAGACAGGAUUUAUCAGGGAUAAAAAUCAUUUGCUGUAACGACAGAACUUAAAUAAUCUAAAUUAAAUGUUACAGUACAGGGCCUUGUUGACUUCAGCGGCUUGACUGGAAUUUACAGGGAGUUUGUGCUCACGUUCCAAGGCCUGAUUUGAGAGCCAACUUCUCCAAGAUGUCCCAGUGAAGCUUUAAGGUGUUCUCCAUUAAAAGAAAGAAUAAAAUAAGCUCCAUAGGUCCAUCUGCGUAAGAAUACUCCUGGCUGAGGUUGAAAAGAAUUAAAACAUCACCUGCACUCUAUGUGUAAAGGCUUAACUUUUUGAUAAACAGCAAACUCAUCUACUGCUGCGCUAGCUAUUUUUAACCCACCUUGUGAGUACGCUUUUUUUUAUUGCUUUAUACAGCAUAUCUGAUUCUCUCUAAAGCACAAACUAAAAAAUCUAUCCGGCUGUCAUUUGCUGCAUAGUGCCAUCUAUCAUCAUGCAGCUUGGCAGCUGUAGUGCAUGAGAGCGGGGGGAGCUGAAGCAGGAGGCACAGUCAAGGACUUUCACAUGUAACAAAAAAAAAAAAUCCUUGUCACAAUUAUUUAUGGCUCUUGCUGGGGCACAUAAUAGGACACAUAAAACCUCUGUUUCAGUUUCAAGCACCCUCACAUCCCCGCUCCCUUGUCGAAGUUGGUCGCAGGCAGUUUUGCUUUACACAUACAAUUUCCUGAACAAUGCCGAGCACUUGUGAAGUGACAGUGACAAAUACUGGAGAUGCUGGCUGCGGCUCUGCAGGCUGCUGCGGGAGCAGCGGUGUCAAUAAUGGAGGAAGGCUGCCAAUGAGACCCAAACGCCGCUGUGAUGUUCCACUUGUUCAACCAGCUUGCUGCAACGCUUUUAUUUUGAAGCUGCAGGAAACUUCUGCUGUAAGGAAAUAAAGUGUUAGAGGAACCUGGGCCAGGAAACAAUUCUUCAUUUUUGAUCUUCUCUGGAGUUUGAUUUUGUGAUAACUAAAAUAUGGCUAUUGCAGAGUGGCUUAAUGAAUAUUCACCAGUUCCCCAUUGGCGUUGGCCUUGUGAGGAGUCCUGUUGGUGGUGGCUGUUAUCUCAGCCCUCUGCACGGUCUGUCUGAACUUUGUCGUUUGUGGUGUAACCGUAAGCCUGGGUUCAGGGGCAGAUGAUGGAGUUAUUGGGAGCCCUGUCUGCUCUCUGUCUAGGUGGUGAGCCGUGGAAAGCUGUGCUGCUAAGGAAGCCAAGUUGAGGUGAUUAGGCAUAAAACUCAGUUCCAGACCAAUAGAUUAUCUUGGUUGCAGUUUCUGGAGAGUGUAGGUAGAUACUAACCUUCAUGUCCCUGUUAGAGUCAUCUGAUAUUUCCCAUACCCCCUAAUGUUUCUGGUCUCCAAUGUUAACGAGCUGAAUUAGCAGCAGAGAUGCUGGGAUGUAUUUGUUGCUGUGGAGCAAAUCAGUUUUGAAGGUAUGAUCCACAAAAACACUGGGACUGCAGAUGGAACAGAAGCAACUG